UACGGAGGGUGCGAGCGUUGUUCGGAUUCAUUGGGCGUAAAGAGCGCGUAGGUGGGCAAGUAAGUCUGGUGUGAAAUCUUCACCGCUCAACGGGAAGGAGCCACUGGAAACUGCUUGUCUUGAGGCCGGUAGAGGUAGGGGGAAUUCCUGGUGUAGCGGUGGAAUGCGUAGAUAUCAGGAAGAACACCGAUUGCGAAGGCGCCCUACUGGGCCGGUCCUGACACUGAGGCGCGAAAGCCAGGGGAGCGAACGGG
rnacentral:rRNA from 1 species